GGGGAUGUAGCUCAGUUGGUAGAGCACCUGCCUUGCAAGCAGGAUGUCAGGGGUUCGACUCCCCUCAUCUCCACCA
rnacentral:tRNA from 2 species